UCUCUGUUUUGUCGUACUAUAACGUGACUAUUUCGGCAACAAAACUAAAUACUAGGUGGUCUCAAACCCUAAACGCAACUCGGCUGAUGGGAAAAGACAGAGAGCCAAGAGUUUAUUUUGCUAAACUCAGAAAGGGAAAAGACAGAGCAAAGAGUCCUGCGCAUUUCACAUUGUUUAUGCAAUUCCCUCAGGCCAUGAUUCUGUAAACUCCGUAAUUUUCUUGUCAAUGGUCUUCGGAUCUAAUGGCAUUUCCUCUUCACAGGCUGGAAGGAAAAGUCACGAGUUCAAUUUUGCACGAAUCCAUUAGUUGUGCUUUCUUAAAAAGAGAAGAAGAACAACCCUGUAUCGUGCAAGCCUGCAGGACCAUCUACCACAUAUGCUGGACAAUUUCUUAGAAGAUCAGCUCAUGUAUAUGGACCUCAAAGAUGGUACCUUUGAAUCAUUUGCAGUGGGUUAGCACUUGUCUGAAGAUCAGGACAGUCAGCAAGAUUCUGCUGCAUGACAAGACAAAAACUGAAUAAGAGAGAAAUUUCAUAAAAUUAACCAUCAAAUAUACUAGGAUGAGAUUUAGAAGUUAAUAACCAUAGAUGAUAAGUAAACUCAUGUAACACAAGCAGCAUUGACAAUGCCAUGUUCCUUUCCCCAUCUGAUUUAUUAGGUUAGUACCAUAUCCAGUUCUGUCCUCACAUGAGGCAUAAUGUUACUCAGUUUUUCCAGAAAAAAAUAAAACCUCUAAUAUAGAGUCAACAUAGCAUCUUUGUAGUCUGGGAAAAUAAAUUUGUUUGCCGAAUGUAAUGGAUAUAAUGACCCACAUGUUGUAGUGUGUUGAUGUGACUUAAACCCAUCAAGUCCUGUAGGUGUUCUUCUUUCUCCUAAAGAAGUGGUCAUCUUGUACGUGAAGGACAAAGUUGUCGUUGGAAGCCUUAACUGCGUUAAGGUAGCCUUCUUUUAACGAACUCUUUAGUAGUAUAUAUAUGAACUAUGACUCAUUGUUAUGUGUGAAAAAAGAGUGAAUGAGCACACUAAAGAAGAGAGACGAAUAAAAAUACAUGUUAUGGAUGACUAAAGUAGUAGUUUUUGAUUACUAUUCAUUAGAUUUCAAUAAGAAAUAUUCUAGGAGUGGUUUUUUAAUCUAUUUUACCUCAAUUCCAUGAUUUGUUAUCGAUUUUGGAAAGAGUUGUAAUUCUUGUGAUUGUUUGUCAUUGCGAUCCCCUACGUCAAGCUGCAUCAAAAAGGCAAAGAGAAACAUGAUCAAAAAGUAGAGAUGUAUUGUAACGCCUACGAAAUUAAUUAACUGGUAAUUAACUCAAAGUGUUACCACUAAACCAUAGUCGAGAUUAAAGCAACGAAAGUAUAUCAUCUACUAAGUAAUCAUCACAUCAAUUGUAAUCAUUACAUAAUAUUUAUCACAGCCACAAAGUAGAUCUAAGUUAUAUCUUAAUACACAAAAUCAAAUUAAAUCAUUAAGCCUGUAAUCUCCACCCGAAGACACUAAUUACCAUGAGUGGUCUAUAAGUCCUCAAGUGAUAUAGGGUCGAUAAUAUCACGUCAAGCAGCCGCAUCUAUCUUGAUAUCUUCAUUGCUCAAAUCCUAGUGCUGGCUAUGUUUUACAGGUGAAAGGAUUGAAACGGUAAGUCCACGACUUAGUAAGUAUAGCACUGUGAAACACAGUUAUGUAGUGAACUCAAUCAUUUUGAAACAUGGGAGUAAAAUUACACAUGCAACCAUAUUUCUCAAUAUGGGAAGGCAGAAAAUCAUGUUGAUACACGAGUAUAGUAUAUAAUUAUAUUACAAGUCAUAACUCUCCUCACUAUAGCCUAUCCAUGCUCUUUCCCCUUCACGGUAAGGUUUGCGUGUCUAAAAAGACAUAUGGUACAACCUCGGUGCCUCUGGUAAAGUACAUAGCUAGUCAUCUCUAGUUGAUCGACCAAGUUCGACCCCGAGUGAUCCACUCAGCUAGUGAUGUCGUAGGGUGUGACCCUCAUCCUGUGGGUGGUUGCGCCAAUUACGAUAACCCUCUGAACCAGGUUAAAACUCGCUCCUCACACAAUUAGCCAUAGGGUCAGUCAAUAUAGUCUAGUAUGCACAAGACACAGAUUUCUUUCACAAUAAGUUUCACAUGAUUUAACAAUGUUGGUCAUGUCACACGAUCACAUUAUCAUUUCCUUUUCCAUGUAUGUAAAAUAGUGUUGAGAGUCCCAACAUUAAAUCAGAAUGCAUUUUAUAAUAGUACAAAGAUGCACAUCUUAUAUCAAAAGAAGCAUGCUAAAAAAUCAUUGUUUAGAGUUUCACAUAAGUUUACUCACAUUGGUCGUAAUAUUCUCCUCAAACUCUCCUUCAAACGCUCCGGUUCCUUCGUCUGCGGGAUAUCUUAUCAUCAGUAGGUUUCCUAAGAGAUAGCCCUAAUCAUAGUACUUAACUCUCAAAUUUUUGCAUUCUAACCCUAAGAGAUAUUCCUAAUCCUAGUACUUAACUCUCAAAUUUCUGCAUUCUGACGAGUACCGAUGGAUCAGUCUCGAGUGUCGAUAGAUCGGUCUUGAGCUGCGUGUUGAUAGAUCGGUUAGCACAGUACUCGACCACUGAUCGAUAAAUGUCAAAUAGUGAUAGAUCAGUACACUGUUCGUUGUCUCCUACCUUCGAAAAAUUCAAUUUUCACCACGUAUAACAAGGUAUUUUGGCAUGAACUGAAAAUUUUUCUUCUUUUCUCAUCCUCUUUUGUGUUAAGACUAGAGAAUUGUGUAAAAGAAGAAUUAUUUCUUAAUCUCAAGGGGUUGGCUCAAGUGGUAAGGGCUUUGAUCUUAGUGGCAUUUUCCAUCAGGUUUAGCGUUUGAAUCUCCUUGGGUGCAAACAAUUCUUUGGAACCAACCUGUCGGAGUAUUACCCGAUCCUACUUUGGAGGGGUUCCUCAUCAUCAAAAAAAGAAAAAUUAUUUCUCGUGUGUGAAAGGUUUUGAACUUGAAUAAUUUCAUUGAUGUUCAGAACAGUAUAUAUAGAGGAUUAGACUACAUGUAAUCCUAUCUAAGUUUGAAAUUCAAAAGUGUAUAACAGAAAAUAUAAUUUAAAAAUACAGAAUAUCUUAUCUCUAAGUUAUCCAUUAGUUAGAGAUUGUUUGAAUGUCUUCAAAUGAAUCUGGAUGUGUUGAUGAAUCUGGACAUGAAGUUGAUGCUGCACGUGUAUGAGAUGAGGUGGUAGAUAUAUCAUUUACAGCCCCCCCCCGCAAGCUGAUGGGGACGGAACAAACCAUAAGCUUGUCACGUAGUAGCUGGAAUCGUGCCGAACUGAGGCCCUUAGUAAAAAUGUCGGCAAGUUGGUCGUGCGUGCUAAUGUAUUUGAUGGAGAUAUCACCAUUAAGCACCUUCUCACGAAUGAAGUGAUAGUCGAUUUCGAUGUGCUUGGUCCUAACAUGAUAAACAGGGUUAGAAGCAAGGGUAAGGGCCCCAAUGUUGUCACACCAAAGACGAGGAGUAGAAAACAAUGGAAUACCAAGAUCCUUAAAGAGCAUUCUCAACCAAAACAGAUCAGUAGUGGCAAGAGCCAUGGCACGGUACUCAACUUCUGUACUAGAACGUGCAACCACUGAUUGUUUCUUGGCUGUCCAAGAAAUGAGAGAAGAGCCCAAAACAAUUCCAAUACUCGUUGUAAAACGUUGAUCAUCAGGAUUACCUGCCCAGUCCGAGUCACAGAAGCUUGAAGUGUUAAAGGGCCUUUGGUGUACCAUAAGCCAUAAUCAAUAGUGCCUUUGAGAUAACGAAGGACCCGUUUUGCCGCUGUCCAAUGUAGAGUAGAAGGAUGAUGUAUGUGUUGGCAUAAUUGGUUGACAGAAAAGGCAAUAUCUUGACGUGUCAAGGUACAAUAUUGUAAAGCUCCCACGGUUUGACGGUAUGUAGUAAUGUCGGUAGGAGAUAACGGGUCACCAUCAGCAUUGGACAAUUUUGAACCAGCAAGACAUGGAGAAGAAUACGGCUUUGCACCCAACAUUUUGGACCUGGAUAGGAGAUCAGAAAUAUACUUUGAUUGUCUGAGAUGCAAUCCUUGAGAGGAUCGGACAGCAUGGAUGCCUAAGAAGAAGUACAGGUUUCCGAGAUCCUAAAGCUUAAAAACCUGUUGAAGUUGAUGAAUAACAGAAGCAAUAUGGGAUGAAGAUGUGCCCGUAAUUAGAAUAUCAUCCACAUAUAUCAAUAAAUAGAGAUGCACAUUUCCAUGAUGAAACAUAAACAAUGAGCUGUCAACAGAAGAGGAGACAAAUCCAAGCUCCAGCAAUGUUUGAGAAAGGCGUGUAAACCAAGCACGUGGUGCUUGUUUAAGGCCAUACAAAGACUUGUGUAACCUGCAAACAUGAGAUGGAAAUUGGGGAUCAAUGAAUCCUCUAGAUUGUUCCAUGUACACUUCUUCAAGCAAGUGUCCAUGGACGAAAGCAUUGGAGACGUCAGGUUGAUGGAUAUUCCAAUUAAACUGGACAGCAAGAGCUAAAAGAACCCGGAUUGUGGAAGGCUUCACCACUGGGCUAAAAGUCUCUGUAAAAUCUACUCCACUCUCUUAAUCAAAACCCUUUGCUACCAACCUAGCUUUAUAACGUUCAAGAGAUCCAUCCUGCUUCUGUUUGAUCUUGUAAACCCAUUUAUUCCGGAUAAUAUUGUGGGUGGAAGGCCGAGGACAUAAGGACCAGGUCUGGUUUGCAAUGAGGGCAUCAAAUUCAUCACCCAUUGCAGCUCUCCAUUGAGGUGACUUGGCUGCUUCGGAGUAGCAUGUAGGUUCUGGUGGAAGAGAAACACUGGCAAGAGCAAAUAGAGGGUGCUUGGUGGAAUAGAAGGAAGUGAAAUUAGGGAAGGAGCGAGUCCUUAACUUACCUGUUUUGGAGCGGGUGAGCAUGGGAUGGGUAGAAACAUGAACUAAAGAGGUCUCGGGUGGGGGUGAAGAAGUAGGUGCUGCAUUAUGAUGUGAAGAAGCCUGUGGAGAAGAAGCUGAAAAAUUAGGAGAAGAAACCUGUAUAUCAGGUGAUAAGUCAAGGGAUGAUGCAGAGAGUGAAGUAUCACUCGGCAGAGGACAAGGUGUGUCGGGUAGUGCAAUAGAGUUGACUGUGGGAAACUGUUGUAACUGGACAGAAGAAGAAGAUGAAAUGUUAGAAAAAUCUGGAAAGGAAACAGGAAUGACUGAACCUGUAGUGGCAGGAGUGAGGACACCUUCAUUUGCAGGAAAUCGGGAUUCGUCAAAAACCACAUGCCUUGACACAUACACCUUGCGAGAUAUAGGAUCUAGACAGCGAUACCCACGUUGAUUAGUGCUAUAACCCAAGAAAAUGCAAUGUUUACUCCUAAACAUUAACUUAUGAGUAGAGUGGGGACAUAAAAGAGGAAAACACGAGCACCCAAAGGAACGAAACAAGGAGUAAUCCAACUCUUUGUUGAAGAGUUUGAAGUAGGGUGAUACAUUGUCAACUGUGGAAGAAGGAAGACGAUUAAUUAUAAAAACGGAUGUAGCAAAAACAUCAACCCAAAAAAGAGAAGACAUAUGAGAUUGGGCAAGUAAAGACAAACCCAUUUCCAUAAUAUGGCGGUGUUUACGCUCAGCCACACCAUUUUGUUGUGGUGUGUGAGGACAAGAAAUUCGAUGAAGGAUGCCAUGAUGGAUUAAAAAGUUCUUAAAUUGAGUGGACAUAUAUUCACCACCACCAUCACAAUGAAAUUGUUUAAUAGAAGUAGAAAAUUGAUUUUCCACGAGAUUUAAAUUGCACAAAAACAGAAAACACAUCAGAUUUAUGAUGGAUGGGAUACAACCAAGUGAAUCUGGAAAAGUCAUCAAUAAAAAGAACAUAAUAACAACCACCACCUAAAGACUUGGUAGAAGAAGACCAAACAUCCGAAUGGAUGAGAUCUAAGGGACACAUAGAGACACGAUGAGAAGAUUGAAAUGGAAGCUGCUUGCUUUUGCCGAGUUGACAAGGUUCAAUUGUUUGACUCCACUGACCGGAAGAGAAAACUGCUACAGAACUUGAGAAACAAUUGGCUGGGAAGCAUGACCAAGGCGGGAAUGCCACACAGCUGCAAAAGUCUUAACACCUAAGAGAGCAGUCAAGGCAUGCUGCUUAUUGACAGAAAAUGAUUUCAGCUGAAUUGGGUAGAGACCACCCUCACUCCGACCUACUAGGAGGGUUAGACCCGUGCGGUUGUCCUUAACAAAAUAUUGAGAACUAGUGAGAAUAAAGAAGCAAUUAUUGUCGAAACAAAAUUGAUUGAUUGAGAGCAGGUUAGCAUAAGCUUGGGAACAGUGCAAGACUUUUGAGAGAUGAACUGAGGAUUGAGGUGUGAAAAACCAUAGAACCAAUGUGUCGUAUUCUCAAAACUGUACCAUUUCCCACUGCUACAUCCUCAGAACCUAAAUACGGCUGCUGUAAGGAUAGAUUCUCCAGGUUGGCAGUGAUAUGCUGAUUUGCAGCACUAUCAGCAUACCAAGGGUCAUUUGCAGGAGCUGAAUUGGAAUCAGCAACCAUGGCAGAUAGCUGGGCAUGAGGAUGACGCCCUUGGAAGGCAUGAUCCAUCCUAUGAAAGCAGUCCAACGCCUGAUGAGAGAAUUUCCCACAAAUUUGACAUGCUGGUCUGGUCGGAGCAGGAUAGGAGGAAGCUGCUGGGCAAAAUUUGGGUGAAGAGGCAGCAGGUUUGGGACCAACCCAACGUUUUCCAGAAGGCUUGGACUUACGGUGUUGAGGAUGAGUGUUCGACUUUGAGGAGAACAUGGCAAAAUGGUGAGAAUCAGUUGUGGUGGCAGCAUUUUGGCUUUCUAGCAAGAGCUCAUAAGAGAGCAAUCCAUCCUGAAAUUUACUGAACGUUAGUGACUUGUAGCGAGAAGCGACAGAAGAGAGGUAACAACCGGGUUAAAGGAUGGAUGAAGUCCACCAACCACAUAAACCGAUGAGUGCAUCAUCAGUUACUGGUUGUCCAACCGCGGCCAGUUGGGCAGAAAAUUGCUUGGCAGUUUCAAGGUAAUCUGUGCAAGACUUGGAAGUUGGCGCUGAAGAUGAGAGAUCCGAGUCUUCAAAUGAGAAGCAAACCAGCUGGAAAGUGAAUUCCAGACUUCCUUAGCACUGGUGACACCAAAAGUGGUAGACAUCACUUUCUCCGAGAGAGAGGCAUUAAGCCAAGAAAGAACAAACUGAUCUUUCUUAGUCCAAAGCAUAAAAUUUGGACUGAGGGUAGCAGUAGCUUACCCUUGAGCAUCCAGAACGUACUUGGGAGGGCACGGCUCAGAACCAUCCACGAAACCCAUCAAGUCGUUUGUCUUCAAAAUAGGAAUCACUUGAUUGGACCAUGUGAUGUAGUUGGGUCCUUCCAAUUUAAAGGUCAUCAAUUGGCCAAUGUUAGGCGGAAUAAAUGGAGGAGGAGAGGCAGAACUGGAUGCCAUGGAUAACAAGAUAGGAAGUGAGCGGAAAUAAUGUGGCAGAGAUCGAAAAGUAGCGUGAGCAAUUAAGGCUCUGAUACCAUGAAAGGUUUUGAACUUGAAUAAUUUCAUUGAUGUUCAGAACAGUAUAUAUAGAGGAUUAGACUACAUGUAAUCCUAUCUAAGUUUGAAAUUCAAAAGUGUAUAAUAGAAAAUAUAAUUAAAAAAUACAGAAUAUCACAUCUCUAAGUUAUCCGUUAGUUAGAGAUUGUUUAAAUGAGUCUUCAAAUGAAUCUGGAUGUGUUGAUGAAUCUGAACAUGAAGUUGAUGCUGCACAUGUAUGAGAUGAGGUGGCAGAUAUAUCAUUUACAGUGUGAGUGAGAUUUGGUUGUCUUGGGUUUUGGAUUUGAGUGAUUUUAUUUACUACAAUUUUAUACUCCCAUCUUUGAUUAGUAAAUUUCUUUGUGAUCGGCUCUGCCUGUGAACAUUCUUUACAUUGAAGGAACUACAUAAAUUUUAGUAUUCUUGCUUGUGAUUAUUUUGUGCUAUUUACUCUAAUCGUGAUCUAUUGCACC